AGUGGGAUAGCUAGGUCAAAUGAUGGUUCCAUUCCAAAUUCUCAAAGGAAUCUCCAUACUGCUUUCCAGAUUGGUUGCACCAAUUUGCAGUUCCACCAGCAAU
rnacentral:pre_miRNA from 1 species